rnacentral:rRNA from 1 species
CGGACGGGUGAGUAAUGUAUGGGGAUCUGCCUGAUGGCGGGGGAUAACUACUGGAAACGGUAACUAAUACCGCAUAAUGUCUGCGGACCAAAGCGGGGGACCUCCGGGCCUCGCGCCAUCAGAUGAACCCAUAUGGGAUUAGCUUGUAGGUAAGGUAACGGCUUACCUAGGCGACGAUCCCUAGCUGGUCUGAGAGGAUGAUCAGCCACACUGGGACUGAGACACGGCCCAG